UUCCAGGCAGGGAAGACAAGGUAAAGUAUGCUGAAAUUCUGCUGUGUUCACUUUUAGAUAAAACACGGAUUCAUGCUGCUGAAGUCCAUGGAGAUGCUAAAGUCAGUCAUGUAUAAACAGUGAUCUAUGAUCUAAAGUUUCAGGAGGGACGAAGAAUGCACAGUCCAAAACGUUGGUCAUCUACCUGAGAAACACAUUAACAACAGGGAUCAGAAGAGCCUUUUGGCAUGAAGCAGAAAAGAAUCCCGACAAAAGAACCCCGACUGGGCCCGGGCCGGGGCAGGGCCGGGAAGGCGCGGCGGGGCCUGCAGGGCGGCCGGCGGCCACAGGGGGGCUUCGUUCAGCCUCUCACAGAGGAGCGGCGGCGGCCGCUUGGCUUUCCCCCUCCCUCACGGAGGCUGUGCUUCCAGCGCUGGGUUAUCCCGUUCAUUCCAGGUUCUUAAAUUCUGCCCCCUUAACGCCGUUCAGGUUAAAGGCAGUUCAGCACAACUUGCCCUUUUCAUAAGUGUUGUGUUACCUUAAUAAAAAUGUGCUAAAAGCACUUACAGCCGUCCAGAAUUCUGGGGUACUGCUCUACUUUUUACUACCAACGGGUACUUCAACCAUUUAUUCCUUAAAUAAUUAGCCAUGAGAGUAAUCACAGAAUCAUAGAAUUGUUUGAGCUGGAAGGGACCCUUAAAGGCCAUCUAGUCCAUCUCCCCUGCAAUGAACAGGGACACCUACAGCUUGAUCAGGGUGCUCAGAGCCCCGUCCAGCCUGACCUUGUAUGUCUCCAGAGACCCCAUCCACCACCUCUCUGGGCAACCUGUGCCAGUGCCUCACCACCCUUAAUGUAAAAAACUUCCUUACAUCUAGUCUAAUUCUCCCCUCUUUUAGUUAGAAACCAUUUCCCCUUGUCUUAACACAACGGAUGCUACUGGAGGGUCUGCCCCCUUUUUUUUCUUACAGCCCCCCUUUAGAUACUGAAAGGCUGCUAAUACAUAUGAACAACAACAAUACAUCUUUUUGUUAUUAUUAUUACUUAAACAAUUGCAUUCAUUCAUAGAUCUCAAAGUGCUAUUUAAAUGAGGCCAGCACAAUUAACCCUGCUGAACCACUGCUGUGCAGAGCUUCCAGACUGCUGUCACUGUGCAUCAGCCGAGCACACAGUCCUGUCUCUAACACCUUUAAGCAAAGACUGGAGCCAAAACCAAAGCGGCAGGAAGCUUCCAUAUUAGAUAAGGUUUUUGGACACAGAAGCUCUCACUGCCUCGAAGAGAGAGAGAAAACAGCCUGAAAGCAUUUGGAAACUGCCCUGCUGUGGUUGGAACAGUUGGGGAUCACUGAAGAACUGCAAUGAGGGGGAGCAGCAGCUGGCAAAAGCUAGGAGAGUUAGGUGCAAGAGGAGAGCAGAGCUCCUUAAGUAACACACAGCCCAGGGAGCUGUCACGGGUCUGAGAUAGGUUCCUGUUCUUACUCGGAGAGAAACGUUCCCGGUGAUCUGGAAGAGCGAGGGGGCUAAAGCCCUAAAAGGAGGCCUCCAAUUUUAGAAAUGCCUCUUGUCCCCACAAUCCCUCCAUUUUUAUAACAUUUUUUAGGUAUGACAUUAUACAAACUAUGUAACUGACAAAUCCUCCAUUUGCAUUAGAUUUAAGUGGCUUCCCUCCCAUCACUCCUCGCUGUUAAAAAUACAUUACAGAAAUUACUAUCCCGCCUAGGAAAAUGUGUGAUGACUCCAGUGUCUGUCGUUUAUGUCUAAAACAUUUUGGCACUUAUCCUGCCAGGUUGUCUUUUCCUUUCAGCUUUGAGUGAGAGAAGGGGAAGUGCAGGGUGAGGGGCCAGAUUUUUCUAUUUCCCUAGUUGCUGCCUGCAUGCAUUGCAGCCCACACUGCAGGCGUGAUGGGAUCUAAAUGCUGAGCAGGAGCAGUGAAAUCCUCGUGAGGAAAAGAGAAUAGAAAGCAGAGAGAAGCCACACUUCAGGCUACCCUAAGAGUGUCUGUAUCAAAUCAGAGCAAAGAUACUGCCCAAGAUCUUGUCUUCCUACAACAGUCAAUAUUUACAGAGAAACUAUCAGCAAACAGCAAGCGUGACAUGAUCUUUCCUCUUGAGUCACCUUUCAGCUUCUGCAAAGGGGACAGACACCUUUCUGCCUUCAUCUCAUUUGCAUGUGGACUGAAUUUGGCCCUCUGCAUCUGAACAAGCCCCCAGUCUCCUUCACUCCCCUCUCCUGCAGCCCCCAGCUGCUACAUCAGUGCCAUUGGGGCUGCUCACAUCAGGCAUUUCUAAACACUAAUCAAGCACAGAGAUCCCUUUUCCCUCUGCUAAGAGCCUGGCUCAAUCUGGAAGGAAAGGAGGAGAAUCAAUCUACCUGAUUGCUGUAUCCCUUUCAUCUUGCACUUUGCAGCCCCUUGCCAAGCAGAGCAGCGGGAGAGUCUCAGCUCGAUCAGCUCAGCUGCUCCCGGCAGGUGUCACUAUGGAAUGGCAAAAUGCAACUCGAAGGCUGUGAUUGCUGCUGCAGGCAGCAUGUCCGCUGAAGUGCCACGUUGGUACCAUGGCGCUGCAGCCAGGAAAGUUUCCUAAUUAGAUCUGAAACAGAGGUGCUGCUGCCCUCUGCUUUCCCCAUGUUUGUCUCUCCACUCUCACAACCCUAACAGUGGGUUGGAGGAGUUUUCUGGGUUUUUUUGUGUUUUCUUAAAUAUAUAUAUAUGCAACAUUGCUUAGCAAUGAAUGAAGAGUCACCCUUCUUCAUGGAUCGCUGCCUCGUGCAGUAACAUGAGCACAAUGACGUGUAAAGUUUCCAGAACUGUUGGUAAUUACUGAUAAGCCCAGUUCAGCUCUCAGUUACAUACAAAGCUGGGUAAACAAUGGGAGGAAAAAAUUAAUUAGAGCCCAUGUUUGCUAAAGCUGGCUAGCGAUUCCAUCUGAUCACGUUCCUGCUCCUUUCAUUCCCUUUGCACAAAUGUUUGGGUGGUCAGGUUAUGCUGGUGCGUAGGUGUACAGGAGGAGCUUUUGUCUGUGCAAAUAGUGCAUCUCUCCCAGGGCAUGGGCCCUUCUGGUAAGCACUCGCCCAUGCCCUUGUGUUUGCAGCUGGGAAGGUGUCUGAAGGCCUGGGCAGGCAGAGGUUAAAUGGUUGCCUCUCCCAAGCAAUACAUACCUGAAGUCUCCAUACCACCAAAACCAGCAAGGGAAGAAGGAAGAGAGAACAGGUGGGAAUGGGAAACAAUAGGAAGGACACACAUCUAGAGAAAUUUCACACAUGUUUUGACCCCAUAGUACUCUUUGGCAAUGUGUCUUCUGUGACACAGCACAGCCUAUGUGAAGCGGAAGAGGAAGAUUCAGAAAGCUUCUCUUUGGCAUGGGCUGGACACAUUACUAGCACAAACAUUGGGCCUAGAUCACAUUGCUUUACUUGCUGGGAACGCUGGGACUGGUCAAGUUCUUAGAGACUUCUUCCAAUCAAUUGUAAGACUUCAUGAGUACUACACGGCACCUUGAACACUGCAUGGGCUGCUUGUAUCUGCCUGAUUUCUCAUCAGGGACUCAGGCAACUUCCAGUGUGACAGGAGUCAGGGUGUUGCCAGGGAUCUAAACAUCACAUUCUCCUCCAUGACUGAAUCCUCUCACUGUGGCAGGCCUGAUUUCCUUGUGUCAAAGUAAGUCCGGUCUUGACAACGUGGUCAGACCAGACGACCUCCAAACACCCCUUCCAACUAAAAUAACUGUUAAGUCCAUGAUUGUGGGGUCAUUUCCUGAUAUACUUCUUUCCCUGAGGUUCUCCCUCAGAGCCAGUGCCUCAGUGAUUUCUUCAGAUUCAGCUCAAAAUUGUGGAAACCAGGUCAAGCCAUGAUGGGAAAGCUACAAGGCCAAGCUUACCAUGAGAAAUCAUGGGGAAAAUACAAAGCCUACACCAUGAUUCUUACGGCAUGAAUGCAAUGGGAUGCAUCCACUAGAAGAACUGGUUGCACAGCAAAAUAUAUUUAUAUAUAUAUAUAUAUAGGAGACAAUGCAGUUCUUUUGGAAAUAGCUUGUAGAGAGUACCAAAUUGGACUGAUUUUUUGAUGUCAAUAAACCAUCUGAUGAGUCCUGGCAUCUUCAGAGUCUUGUGAUGUCUUUCUCCUCUUGUGAAGAAAUGCUUGGCAGAUGAAUCCAUAAAAUCCUGUCCUUUUGUGCACUCAUUUUACAGCACUGUUUGUGCCCUGGUGCACAAAGUUGUGUUUUAUGGAGUGCUAGGAAAGGCUCAGAUCAAAGCUAAUGCGAUUUAUCCAUGAUACUUUCUGCAAGAAGAGUUCAAAAGAUAGGAAAUCACAUAUGAAGAAAAUUAGGCUUUGCAUAUAAUUUCCUGUACUUUAUGGAGAGCUGAGACCACAGAAAGAAGGAUUCUGGUGAGAGGCCUGAUACUGAUCCCUUCUUGCUCCCACUAGCACAUUGGAUAAUAUAGAUCCCAUCUAAUUUAACCCGUGGGGACUCCUCUUUGCCUCCAACCGCUGACCUGACAGUGUGCUUCUAACACAAACUCUGAGUGUAAUUAAAUUCUCUUAUUUCCCCAUUUGAGCUACUAUUAGGAAAAAAAAAAAAAAAAAGCCAAAAAAACAUUCCUAUGCUCCUAUUUUUGUUUACUUCAAACAGUUGCUGGAUGUAAGCCAUUCUAAUUAAACUGCAAAGUUCUUCUGUGGGCAGCUCAGAUGUUGCUAAAAUUGAUGUCAAGUGUUACAGAAAUCUGUAUUGUUUGCAGUGAUCUUUCUGAAUUCCACUGGCAUAGAGAAGUAGCAGCCAAAAACAAACAAACAAACAAACAAACAAACAAUCAAAUAAAUAAAUAAAGCCCCUAGAUCUAUUUACUAUUGCUUUUUUUUUUUUUUUUUUUUGGCUGUUCCCAGGGUCUUCAUGCAAUUUGCUAAGCCAGGAUACAGCUUGAUGCAGGACAUCAGCUGAUAAAUGUGGGUGGUACUUGGGCUUCAGAUAAAGAUUAAUCUAUAAAUUAAUCAGGGGACAAGAAAAUCUCCUUCCAUAACAAGAACAGCCCUUGUAAAUCAAGGUUUCAAUUUGGUAUAAUUAAAUGAGCAACUGGCCUGCAAAUUGUUGACCACACACAGGUUACAGAAGUGAUACUAUUGUAACCUACAUGGUUGUGCCAAGUUUCCAACAGAAGACCCUGAGGCACUUCUCUAGCGGUGUGGGAAGGUCUGGAGCAUCACCCAGCUGAGCUGCGUGCACUUGCUCAUACUCAAUUAGCAAGUUCAGGCUGUGUAUAUAACCCAUGCUGCCUACGGUGCCAAGCAGCCAAUUGCCCUCAGCAGCUACUAAUAUAGAAUUGCAAAGUAUAGUUAAUUAAGUAGGUACAAUUUAUUCCAUAGUAUGUUCCCUGUGUAUAAAACUGCGUGUAGUUUUUGGCUAUUGAUGUAGGAUACUGCUUUAAGAGUUAUCCCUUGUGUUCCUGGUCUCAGGUGCCCAUUCCUUCUUCUACGUAGUAUGUGGGACCUUGGCCUGUACUUGGGAUUGUGGAGUCAUAGAAUCAUAGAAUCCUUAGAUUUGGAAGGGACCUCUGAAGGCCACAUAGUCCAACUCCCCUGCAAUGAACAGGGACACCACAGCUAAAUCAGGUUUCCCAGGGCCUUAUUGAGCCUCACCUUGAAAGUCUCCAGGGACAGGGCAUCAACCACAUUGAGUAACCUGUUCCAGUGCCUCACCACCCUCACUGUAAAAGAGUUUUUCCUUAUAUCCAAACUAAAUCCACCCUCCUUGAGCUUGAAACCAUUUCCCUUUGUUCUAUUGCCACAGAUCCUGCUAAAGAGUCUUUGCCCUUCUUUCCCGUAGCUCCCCUUUAGAUACUGAAAGGCUGUUAUCAGGUCACCUCUCAGCCUUCUCUUCUCCAGGCUGCACAGCCCCAGCUCUCUCAGCCUGUACGCGUAGGAGAGGUGUUCCAUUCCCUGAAUCAUUUUUGUGCCCCUUCUCUGGAUGCACUCCUAGAAGUCUAUGCCUGUCAAGUCUCCUGUACUGAGGACUCCACAGCUGCAUGCAGUACUCCAGGUGAGACCUCACAGCGCAGUGUAGAGGGGCAGGAUCACCUCCCUCGUCCUAUUGGUCAUAUCUGGUCUAGUGGUUGGCAACCUUGCACAUAGCAGGGGGGUUGAAACUAGAUGAUCAUUGUGGUCCCUUUCAACACAGGCCAUUAUAUGAUAUAAUUCUAUGAUCUUUUGUUGCAGAUCAGGAUAUGUUUGGCUUUCUGAGCUGCAAGGGCACACUGCUGGCUCAUGUCUAGCUUGCCAUCCACCAGUCCCCCCAAGUCUUUUUCAGCAGGGCUGCAUUUAGUCCUUUCACCCCCCAGCUUAAAUUUGUAGUGGGAGUUAUCUUGACCCAAAUGUAAGAUCUUGUAUUUGGAUUUGUUGAAUCUCCUGACGUUCACCUGGGCUCACUGCUCAAGCUCAAGUCCCUC
ensembl:lncRNA